UACGAAGGGGGCUAGCGUUGUUCGGAAUUACUGGGCGUAAAGCGCGUGUAGGCGGACGUGUAAGUCAGGUGUGAAAUCCCCGGGCUCAACCCGGGAACUGCACUUCAAACUGCGCGUCUUGAGUACUGGAGAGGGUAGUGGAAUUCCUGGUGUAGAGGUGAAAUUCGUAGAUAUCAGGAGGAACACCGGUGGCGAAGGCGGCUACCUGGACAGUCACUGACGCUGAGACGCGAAAGCGUGGGGAGCAAACAGG
rnacentral:rRNA from 1 species